UUCGCCUCUCAUUUUACUCGAAACCCCAAAAGAGGAAGCUUAACUACAACUUCUCACUACCAUAGCAACCUUCGCCUCUCAGUACCAUUACCUUUACCAUCGCCUCUCAUUUUCAUUUUUCAGUAAUUUCCCCUUUGCUUAAAAACAAAUCCGGAUAGGAAUCUCAGAAUGAGAAAACCCUUCGAAGAAGAAGAAAAAAAAAUGAAACCCUAUAAAUUCUCAGAUUCAAGAAACUCCAAACUCAAUUCAAGAAAGGAUUCUCAAUUCGGAAAUUCUCAGAUUCAAGAAACUCCAAACUCCAAACUCAAUUCUUCUGCAAGCCCAAUUUUCGAUUUUAAUUUUUCGAUUCGUUAUAUAUAUAUAUGGCAUCGAUUCAACGUCGAUUCGUUAGGUAUAAGAUUUUUAUGAAUUUUACUGACAAUCCCUAGUUCUGCUAGGGUUUGUAAACUGAAUCGGUUUGUAAAUUUAGAUAUUGUAAUUCGAUUCCUAGAGUAUCAAGAUUUUGUUUAAGUGAUGGAUGGAAACAAAGAUGAGCCUGUGAAAUGUUUUAAAAUUGGGGAAGCUGCAUUGAAGGAUUUCAAGCUUGUCAAUCACCCGGCGUGGGACCUUUGUACUUGAUGCCUUAAGCUAAUUUUGUAAGUUUUUCUUGGUUCAAAUUUCUAUAGUGUUUGAUUCGGUUAAUGAUAAGUGAAAUUGGAAUUAAAGUUUGUUGGUAAACAAAUUAGUGGUUUCAUGUUUCUGGACUAGUGUUUUGGUUCUAGCUGGUGUGGAGUGUGGCUUGUUUUAUUGUUGUAUUCUUGUAUUCAAGGAACUUGAGGAGGAAAAAGAUAUUAGUUAUUGGACUGUGCAACCACAGAUGAAGAAAGUCUUUGGUGAUCGUUUUCCAUGUUCUUGGAUCUUGGAUUUCCUCUCCAUCAACCUUGUAUGGUGAUUAUCUCUCAUUUCUUAUUAUUUUGAAUUCAUAUUUGUUAAAUUAAUGCUACCAUAUAUGUGGGUAAGACUGCCGCAUAUACAUUUUUAACACGAAAUCUCAUUUUUAUAGAAUUUUUCUGCUGCAAUAUUGCUUUUUGUUAAAUUAAUUUUCCAAUUAGUUUUGCAAGUGCUAGUAGAUAAUCAUCUAUUAAGCCUGAAAAUUUCAUAAGUUGAAUUGCUUGUUUGAACACCCAGUAUGCAUGUGCUUAUAUUUGAGAUGGUGCAGAAGUCAACCAUAUCAUUUCAUACUUAGCUUUGCAGUUUGUGAAGGCUUGGCAGAAGUUUUAAGAUGCUUAUUGUGAUGUAGAAUGGCUGAAAGUAUACGUUUCAUUUAAUUCAUUAUUGUGGUAGUGCAAAUGAACUGAUGAACAAAUGGUUUUCCUUAGUGUUGAAUUAGGUUUCCUGAUAAUUCAACUGGGUUAAAGAGAACUGAAACAGGUGAACUUAUAGGCCGUACCUGUUAUUUCAUUUGCUGGGAGUGAAUUUUAUUCAGAGUGAAAUAUACGAUACACUGAAACUGAAUGUUCUUUAUCCUCUUAGGCUGGCAAAUAUGUAGCUAUGACCAGUAGUGAUAAUGAAUUAGGGGAUUAUAAAUCAUAGUUUUCUUCCAAGAUAACGUAUCUUUUCCUGUAAUUAGGAUUGUAGCUUUUACUUCUAUAGAUGUUAAGAAUUUAGUUCUGUGACAUGAUCACCUGUUGUGUAUUUUUCCACAGACAGAAGUUACUCUGGCAGAGAAACGACAUGCUAGGUUUAUUCAUGAGGAAUACAAAGAGAAGAUUUGGGUGAUUAGCGAUCUUGUUUUUGUAGUCUUGAUAUAUUGUUGCUCCAUUUAUUUAUAUCUAUUAUAGCUGUAAACUUUUUGCUUAACCUAGUUUUUCCAUAUGACUUGUUUGGAAUGUGCCAAGUGAAUAUUUGAUUCACUUGCUUACGUGAUUCACUAGUUACUUGAGGAUCCAGGGAGUUGGAUUUAUAAUAUGUCGUGCCAGUUAGCGUGAUAGGUUCACUAAUGGGGCACAAAACCUUAAAAGCCACUGCAAAUGAGGGAACAGGUUUUUCUUAUUUGCAUUCAGGAUUAUUAAUGUCUGAGCUACAUUCUCUAAUCAAAGUAAUUAAAAAUAUCGUUGCUUAAUUGUAUGCAGUUUCUCGUGCUUUUGGUAGAUUUAUAUUUGAUUUUACGUUUAGUCUUCUUUUAUUUUCAUACCGAAGUUUCUUAUCAAAUUAUUAGUUUGCAUCGGAACAAUAAUUAUAUCCAAAAUGAUCUCCUAGACUUAAUAAAUGUGAAGGUGAAGUGCCCCUCCAGUUUUCAGCACCAGAAGAAGGUUGAAUGCCUCGCGAUUAGUGGGAAUUUUCUGAACUUAUAUAUAGGAUUGUUUUUUUGCUAAACUUUCUAGCCAAUACAUUUUUAUUUGGGUGACUAAGUUUUAUGGGUUCCAAUGGUAUGUCCAGGUAUGACGGGCCAUCUAUGAUAUGGGUUUUCCCCAUGAAAGCAAGGAAUUUUCAAAGGUAUGCUUACUUUGAGUAUAUUUCCACAAAUUCAGAAACAACUCUCUUUUUUCCUAUUAGUUCAGUGGGCCUUGUAAAACUGUUGUUACUAUUUCAUGCUUGCUCGUGUAGAUUAAUUUCUUUUGCCGAUUUGUCAACAACUUAAGAUAAUAUACCCGAGCCAUGUCGUUGACUUCUUUUUGCGCAAAGCAUCCCGUGAUCUACCCAUCAGUCAGCAAAUCAUAUACAUGGAGUGGGAAAUUGUGGUUCCUCUAUAUACAAUUGUUCCACUUUGUUAUUGAUGAUCAACCAGAAAGUCAGGGUUCAUGUUACUGCAAUAGAUGGUGAACCAGAAAAUUGGGGUUCAUGUUACUGAAUAUAUGCUAAUUCUGAAAAUUUGUGUACCAAUGAGAUAUCAAUGGGACAAGAGUUGUCGAAGUUCUAUCUGUUGACUAAGUUGCUUGAAGUUCUAUAUAUGUUGCUUGAAGUUCUAUAUGUUUAGUUGUUCAUUUUCUCACUCACGCUAUCUAUCCAAUGACAACUGCAUUCUUUGUUCGAUCGAGAUUGUUCAGAAAUAUGCAGGGGGGGGGGGGGGGGGGUAUUUUGUAGGCCCUUUCCAUAAGAGCAUUUUGGAGGCACUUCCCCAUGUAUCUUUUUGAAGCUAUCUUGCAUUGGUCAAGUCUAUGAUGUAAACUUCUGUAUUUAGUUAUUGGUGGAAACAUUCCACAGAAAUUUGAAAGCUUGAGGUGGCUACUGAAUUGGUUAUCCCUCAAUUCCUGGGUACAAAAUUUCAGCUUGGAUUGGUUGUUGAAAGCAUCAAAGCUAAUUUGUCAGUGAAGAGAAGGUUAUCAUAUGAGUACGGACAACUAGUUUAUUAUGCUAAGGAAGAUUAUGCAGUUAGAUAGUUGAGUAGAAUACGGUCAAGAAGUGUAUGCUGACCAGGCUCACUCCUGCCUGUCUGCAAGGGCUUGUUAGCUGUCUUGUUCAAGAAGUAUUGCUAUGGGAUUGACUUUGCUGUGUAGGUAUCUCCUUGUGAAGGAUCCUUUUAUCUUGUAGGGGUCUUGUCGUGUGAGCUUACGGUGUUUGAUUUUAUUUUAUUGUUGGUUUGAUACUAAUGUUUGUUAGUUGGUGAUGCUAAAUACUUAAGUAUUAUUAGCAUUUUGUAAAAGGCAUUGAUACAAGCGAGUCUGUAAAAACAUUUUGUUUAAAUAAAUGUAUAUUCCUCUUUAUUUUC